GUUUUAUAAUCCUUUUUGCGCGAUGGGCUCAUCGGUGCUUGUCGUGGGGGCCUCGGUGGCUGCUCCGCGCCAUCUUUGCACAGCAGCCCGCGUGCAGGUCUCUGAUCCUCUCCGGCGGGUCCGCAGCCUCACUAUGGGGUUUUAAGGCGUCCAUUGGAGUGUUAUCUUUGAAUAAAGCAUGAGAGCUCUGGAAGCCCAGCCAGGGGCAGUGCUCCUUCACAGAGCUUCUGUACUAACCUGAUGACUGAAGGCCUAAGGUUAUAUAAAUUCCUGCUACUUCAUCUUAAGGCUGUGACAAGUGGAGAGCAAGCCCUUUCUCCCUGGUUACUAUGGAUUUUGCUGACACGAAGGAGGUCCUCUAUCUGAUGUUGGGCAGAUCCUAGGAACUUUCCUAUAAUAAACAGCUGUCAACUUACUGUAUUGUAUUGUGUUACUUAUUGUAUUGUGAACUCAAUGUGUUGAGCAGCUAUCAACUUAUUAGGGAAAAAUUGCCUAGAAAUUUGGGGGCACUUACAUACCAAGUAGACAGCUUUCAGGUCUUACAUUUGCUUUGUCUUGUACAGGUAUCUAGUUUUAUCAAAAUAAUUCCAAUAAAAUAUUUUAAAGCAAAUAAA